rnacentral:lncRNA from 1 species
UGAUUCCCAAGUGUCCACAUGCAUGUGAGACCUUCCUCUCCACAGUCGGGGAAACCCCAUGGCAGAUGAGCUCUUGGUACAGUCCUUAUGGCCACCAAACCCUUGGAUAUAAAUGACAAUAUGUUUCUCGGCCCAUCUCAGAUGACCCAGUUGUACCAUAUGUUUGGCAGGUGGCUGGAUAGAUUCUGUGGCAGCAAGAGCUCCUCUAAUGGAUCCUUCAAAACCACACGGCACCUUCUGAUUGGAAUAUACACUACCCUGAGGUUUUGUCUCACCUGUGUGGGUGAAGGAUGGAACAGACAGGAGAAAGAUGAAGGAACCACAGUGCUACUAAUCCUGGCAUCGGCAGCUUGGAGAGAACAGGCAAGGCCCACAUCUAGGCUCUGUAUGAUCUCAUCUCUGCCCUCCAGUGAUUACAGAUCUCAACACUCCAUGAAGGAAUCC